rnacentral:rRNA from 1 species
UGAGGAAUAUUGGUCAAUGGACGAGAGUCUGAACCAGCCAAGCAGCGUGCAGGAUGACGGCCCUAUGGGUUGUAAACCGCUUUUGUUUGGGAAUAAUCGACAUUACGUGUAAUGUUUUGCAUGUACCAUUCGAAUAAGGACCGGCUAAUUCCGUGCCAGCAGCCGCGGUAAUACGGAAGGCCCAGGCGUUAUCCGGAUUUAUUGGGUUUAAAGGGAGUGUAUGCGGUUGGUUAAGCGUGUUGUGAAAUGUGGAUGCUCAACAUCUGACUUGCAGCGCGAGCGGGGUGACUUGAGGACACGCAACGGAGGGGGAAUUCAUGGUGUAGCGGUGAAAUGCUUAGAUAUAAUGAAGAACUACGAUUGCGAAGGCAGCUUACGGGAGUGUUACGGACGCUUGAGCUCGAAGGUGCGGGGAUCGAACAGG